UUGUGAAUUAGAUCUGACAAUC
rnacentral:siRNA from 1 species